rnacentral:sRNA from 1 species
UGAAUAGGGUGAGCACGUGAGCUUUCCUCUUGAAGCCAUCCUCCUUGAUAAGGCCGCCAAACGCCAUGCGCCUGACUUCCCCACCGUCGUCCUGUCGAAGGGCAUCACACUGCUCCCAG